CCUAGCCCAAGUUCUGGGUUUGAAGCUUGUGAUCCUCCUUGCUCAGAAACUAAUCUGGACUUUAGGCAACCAUAGAAAUGAGUAUAUUUAUUAACCAUAUGGUCUUCCACACCAUCUAGUUAAGUAUCUUCCUGCAAAGGUCUGCCAUGAAAUAGUUGCAUUUCAUCCCACAUGGGUAGGGAUGGAACAGAAAGGCCCCAGGAUCUUUAGCAAGAGCACUGCAGUGCAUACACAGGAAAGCAGGGCCUGAUGCCCUCUGCAUUGCUAAACACACACACAGUCCCCCUUGUGUUUCCUUGAAAACUAUUCAUUACAAUUAAUGUUUUACUGGGCUGCCUGGGUCAUGCUGUCAAUGCCAGGGCUAUCAUUUCAGUCUCUGUGGACUCAAGCAAGUGACAUCCCAUUUAUUAUGCUUGAUUCACAUUUUCAGACACUUUGGAAAAUGAAGAGUGGAGACGUGCCUCAUUUAAUGAAGACAGGAAUUACUUCUUUCAUCAUUAUAUAACCAUCUCCAAAGCUUCUUGUGACUUCUGGCAGCAGCACAUGAAGGUACACAAACUCCCAGCUUCUCUGAGAGGAGAGGAAACUCGAAGCCUGAGGAAGAAUCAGGACCAUUUCACCCUCCAGAAAAACUCAUCAUGCUAUAACUGGAGUACUGCCCAGCAAAAAUUGUUUUCCUCAGUUUCAAGAAGGAACUGAUAAAGUGCUACACAGGGAGAGCAUAGCAUUUUCUGUGUAGUGAAUUAUGAAACACAGAUGGAUGUUUAUCCAUUGUCAGUCUUGCACUAGACAAAUGCAGGACAUGACAGGAUCAAGUGGAAAUGGUUUUAAACAGAGAGUAGAGUUUAGGUUAGAUAUUAGGAAGAAAUUCUUUACUCAGAGGGUGGUGAGGCACUGGAGGAGGUAGGCUGGAUAAGUUUUGGACUCUCCAUCCCUGGAAGUGUUCAAGGCCAGGCUGGAUAGGGCUUUAGAGACAACCUGGUCUAGUGGAAGGUGUCCCUGCCCAAGGCUGGGGGGCUGGAACUAGAUGACCUUUAUGGGCUCUUCCAACACAAACAACUCUGUGAUUCUAUAAUUCUAUGCAUGGUCAUUAGCACAGGUUGAUAGUCUGCCUUGCACUGGUAAGUGAAUAAUUAUCCACUUUAUAGUCAUCACACACUAAAAAAAUAUCUAAAAGCUAAAAGUGUUGAAUGUAUAGUAAAAACUGGUUUAUUAGACAACUGAAUGCUUAGAAGAUGAGACAGAAUAGAGGUAAAGGAGGAAGAAAGAAGCUGCUUUUAGAAUCAUGAAUUGAGGUAUAGAAUCAUUAAAUGGCAGAAGAAGAAAGGAAAUAGAAACAAUAAUAAGGAAUCAACAGGUAGAUAAAUAUUUAGAGUACACAUGGGUUUUAGGUAUUUGCCCUGGACUUUGGAGGAAUUAUAUUACAUUAAUCAAAAGCAAAUAAUUAAAAAAAUUCUCACAUUUUUGUACUACAGUUUCACACACUUCCUUACCCUCUCAAUUUUUUUUCUGUACUUCUUCUCUGUAGAAAUAUGCUGCAAAGAUAUGAAAAUGUUUAGGUUUGAAAUUUAUUCUAUUUGUCAAAUUAAAUUUUUAUGAAUAAACGCCUUCUUUUGAAAACA